AUAAAUUUUCAAUUUUCGCGUUCUGCAUUCGAUUUUCGAUAAUUCUUUGUUAAUUUGGCUUCUAAAUGGCAUAUAUGCGAGAGUGUGGACAAGUAAAUUGGCAAGAUCGGCCAUUUUAGUCUUUUAUUUCAUUUUGACAGAUAAGAAGUUUGGAUUUGCUACUUCUAGCAUUUAAAUAAAAUUAUUCAAGAAUCGGUAUUAAAUUCAUUGUAAAAAAUAAAAUUAAGUGCUCAACGAAUUCUAAAAGUGUUAAAUGUGGCAGAUGUUUUAUAUUUGGUCACAUUUAUUCAAAACGAAAUUCAAUCGCAAAGUUCAAUCACAAUCGCAACGUUACCGACCGGAAAAGUCAAGCACUGAUCCGCGUCUCGAGAUAAUUUCUUCAACCUAACCUCAAAAUACAUUUCAUGAAAAAAGGUUUAAAUACCGCAUAAUUGUUGCUAUUUUUUAUUAUUUGAUUAAUUUUUUCGGUAAAAUUCUCAACAACUUUCCAACUGGGCACACACCUACCAACUCGGAGUGCCAUAUACACACAAAUAAAACCCUAGAGUUUGCCUUUAUUUAACUCUCUCUCAUUAAAAUCUCAUAAACAAAUUCAAAAAGCAAAAAAAAAAAGAAAAUCAAAAACUACCAACAACUAUAAAGCGAACCGGUUUCUUUAAUAAACAACGAGCCCAUCGCGCAGGCAAUCGGAUCAAAACAUUCAACUGAUAAAGCGCUGCUGGACUUUGAAACCAAAUUGCAAAUCUUCGUGAAUCGCUGGCAGAUUUUUUUAAGGCCGUCGGAGGAUUAGCUUUUAUUAUAUACAAUUUGUCUGUUCAACGCCCACAUGCAAGCGUAGUGCCGCAAUUUACAGUUAACGGAACCUGUUGAAUACUAUAAUUAAUUAAAUUUCUUUUGAGAAACUGCAAUGUAGAUUUCUUUUAGAUUUUUGAAAUUUUAUAAUUUUUACUUUGAAAAAAAAAAAAAAAAUUGUCGCAUUGUAAAUGUAAUAUAUAUAAAUUAUAUAGUAAAACUAAUGUAAUUAUUUAUUAUAAAUAUGUUUAUUUAACUAAUACAUUCCAAGCCAAAUGAUUGAUACAUUCAAGUGCACGUUAAAGAUCUUUGACCAAAUAGCUUUCACGUUUGCGUAUCUGCGUAUCAGUCUAACAGCGCUGGUCAUUGGCGGCUCGCUUACGCAAGCAUCUUCGUGUGUGUGUAAUCUUAAAAGUGACUAAAAUUCACCUUGCACAUACAUAUGUACAUACCCACAUAUAUAACGACCAGCCUUCUUAUCGGUUAUAAAGUGAGCACUGCUUCAAUAAAAUUAUGACACAAGCAGACUAUUGUAAAUUAUUUGGAAAUUCACACAUGGAGUUUUAUAAAAACAAAUCAUAUAAUUAUUAUUCAUCGGUUAUUGCAUUCAUCAAACAUACCCUAAUAAAAUAAACGAGUUGAAUUUGAAAUUAAAUUGGUUAAAUGUAAAUUUAAUAUGAUACAAAUUUUGGAUGAAUGAUCAUAUACAAUUGUUUUCAGUGUAGCGCCGUAAUGUAUGCUAUAUUAUUAAAAAAAAAUAGUGUGUGGUAAAUAUGUUACAAUCUGCCAUAUUUUAUAUUUCUUAAUGUUCCACAAUUUUCAAAAAUAUAUUUUUUUUUCUAAAAGAAACUCUAAAAAAGCAU